rnacentral:rRNA from 3 species
AAAUUGAAGAGUUUGAUCAUGGCUCAGAUUGAACGCUGGCGGCAGGCCUAACACAUGCAAGUCGAACGGUAGCACAGAGAGCUUGCUCUCGGGUGACGAGUGGCGGACGGGUGAGUAAUGUCUGGGAAACUGCCUGAUGGAGGGGGAUAACUACUGGAAACGGUGGCUAAUACCGCAUAACGUCGCAAGAC